rnacentral:rRNA from 1 species
AGAGUUUGAUCAUGGCUCAGGAUAAACGCUGGCGGCGCACAUAAGACAUGCAAGUCGAACGAACUUAACUCAUUCUUUACGAUUGAGAGCGGUUAGUGGCGGACUGGUGAGUAAUACGUAAGCAACCUGCCUAUCAGAGGGGAAUAACAGUGAGAAAUCAUUGCUAAUACCGCAUAUGCUAACAGUAUUGCAUGAUACAGUUAGGAAAGGAGCAAUCCGCUGAUAGAUGGGCUUACGCCUGAUUAGCUAGUUGGUGGGGCAACGGCCUACCAAGGCGACGAUCAGUAGCCGGACUGAGAGGUUGAACGGCCACAUUGGGACUGAGAUACGGCCCAGACUCCUACGGGAGGCAGCAGUCGGGAAUAUUGCGCAAUGGAGGAAACUCUGACGCAGUGACGCCGCGUAUAGGAAGAAGGUUUUCGGAUUGUAAACUAUUGUCGUUAGGGAAGGUAAAAGACUGUACCUAAGGAGGAAGCCCCGGCUAACUAUGUGCCAGCAGCCGCGGUAAUACAUAGGGGGCAAGCGUUAUCCGGAAUUAUUGGGUGUAAAGGGUGCGUAGACGGAGAGACAAGUUGGUUGUGAAAUCCCUCGGCUCAACUGAGGAACUGCAACCAAAACUAUUUCCCUUGAGUGUCGGAGAGGAAAGUGGAAUUCCUAGUGUAGCGGUGAAAUGCGUAGAUAUUAGGAGGAACACCAGUGGCGAAGGCGACUUUCUGGACGAUAACUGACGUUGAGGCACGAAAGUGUGGGGAGCAAACAGGAUUAGAUACCCUGGUAGUCCACACCGUAAACGAUGGAUA